rfam:Salmonella enterica subsp. enterica serovar Enteritidis str. LA5, WGS project CAGR02000000 data, contig: Scaffold49-Contig1
UAUGGCUGGUGCGGGGGUUCGUGCAAAUAACCUGCAGAAUUUCCUCGAUGCCGGAGUACGGGAAGUACACAGUUCCGCCGGAGUCUUACUGCCUUCGCCGAUGCGCUAUCGCAAUCAGGGGUUAUCGAUGUCUGCCGAUAUACAGGCGGACGAGUAUUCUCGCUAUAGGGUAGAGGGUGCGGCGGUCGCUGAAAUGAAAGGAAUCAUUGUUCGCCAUCAGGCCAAAUGAUUUUUACCGUUGCAUCAUGUCGCCCAAUAUGAUGCUUGCUCGUACCAGGCCCCUGCCAAUUCAACAGGGGCCUUUUUUU